rnacentral:misc_RNA from 1 species
UUUCCGUAGGUGAACCUGCGGAAGGAUCAUUAUAAAUGAAAAACGAAUAACUUCAGGGAAGAAGGGAACCUGCACGGUGACCUCCCCUGUCGGGCCACCCAAUACCUUCAAAAUGCCGCCGUCCUAGCGGUGGCAGACGAAAAAAAAACAAGAAAAACAAAAUAGAAACAGGCACGGUGGCCCGGUCACCUUCACACAACCCUCCGAGUACCGCUUCCAUGUUGCUUCCCGCAAAUCCACCUCGUUGGUGAGCGCGGGGGAGGUCCGCAUCAAAUUCACCGGAAUGUCACAGCAGUCAGACAGCCAUUCAUGGAAACAAUAAAACUUUCAACAACGGAUCUCUUGGUUCCC